AGUGAACGCUGGCGGCGUGCUUAACACAUGCAAGUCGAACGAGAACGGAUUAUAGCUUGCUAUAAUUGUCAGCUAAGUGGCGCACGGGUGAGCAAUGUAUAGGUAAUAUGCCUCUUACUAAGGGAUAACAAAUGGAAACGUUUGCUAAUACCUUAUACUCCUUAUUAACAUAAGUUAAUAAGGGAAAGAUUUAUUGGUAAGAGAUUAGCCUGUAUUGUAUCAGUUAGUUGGUGGGGUAAUGGCUUACCAAGACUAUGACACAUAACUGGUUUGUAAGGAUGAUCAGUCACACUGGAACUGAGACACGGUCCAGACUCCUACGGGAGGCAGAAGUGGGGAAUAUUGCACAAUGGUCGAAAGUCUGAUGCAGCAACGCCGCGUGGAGGAUGACACAUUUCGGUGCGUAAACUCCUUUUAUAUGAGAAGAUAAUGACGGUAUUAUAUGAAUAAGCCCCGGCUAACUCCGUGCCAGCAGCCGCCGUAA
rnacentral:rRNA from 1 species